GACGAACGCUGGCGGCGUGCUUAAUACAUGCAAGUUGAGCGCUGAAGGUUGGUUCUUGUACCAACUGGAUGAGCAACGAACGGGUGAGUAAUGCGUGGUGUAUCCUCCUUUUCGGGGUGGGCAACAUUUAGUAACGAAUGUUACUGCCGCAUAAAAACUUUAAACAAAAGUUUUGAGUUUGAAAGAUGCAAUUGCAUCACUCAAAGCUGAUCACGCGUUGUAUUAGCUAGUUGGUGAGGUAAAGGCUCACCAAGGCGAUGAUACAUAGCCGACCUGAGAGGGUGAUCGGCCACAUUGGGACUGAGACACGGCCCAAACUCCUACGGGAGGCAGCAGUAGGGAAUCUUCGGCAAUGGACGAAAGUCUGACCGAGCAACGCCGCGUGAGUGAAGAAGGUUUUCGGAUCGUAAAACUCUGUUGGUAGAGAAGAACGUUGGUGAGAGUGGAAAGCUCAUCAAGUGACGGUAACUACCCAGAAAGGGACGGCUAACUACGUG
rnacentral:rRNA from 1 species